GGCCGGGCCUGGACCCCUUGAUAAAUAUUUUCAAGGGGUAGGACCCGAGACUCGAGCUCGGGUCCUCCAGAGUAGAAAGCCGAAGCGAAAACAUUAAUUCUAUAAAGGUUUUUCAUCCGCAAUUGAUAGACGAAAUUUCCCACAUUAAGCAAUUUUGCAUAUUUAUAACCCUUGAAAGAGUAGUGUGCAUCAUCAGACCAUCACUAAAUCAUUCGAGCUGACAUAUCAUCUUUUACUCGAAUCAGGAACACGCAUAGAGCAAAAUCUAUGCCUGUUUCCAAUCACGUGGCUUCAGUUCUGGUAUGGGAACCAGCGUAAAAUAAACCGAAACAUGUUGUAUACACUCGACCACGGAAGGUUCAACUCUCGAGACACACUUCUUAGCACUGUUUCAUAUUCUGCCAGAAUGGCCAUAGCGACCGCCAUCUUAUCUACAUCUGUUUCGAUAUGUGGUGGUCCUCUGUCUGGAGUUAUACCUAAAUCCCCGGUUGUUUCAAAUUGGCCUCAGAGAUCCUCUAAGCAAACCUUUAAUUCUCCAACAUCACGUAAAUUAUCAUUAUUUUUUUAUUAUUGGUAAAACAAUUUUACUGAAAUAGCACGUUCGUUUAUUGUGAGAGCCAUAAUGGUCACUGAGAAGCGGGUUCGGCAUUCUUAUUUUAAUCUAGCAAAAAGUCUCUCGCAUAAGCAAUGUUACUUGUAGCAAAAGCCAAUUUUUUCAAUAUUUGCCUGAUGAUUAACAGAUUCCAAAACGCCAUCAUUGUUAUUUAGCAAGCUG
rnacentral:lncRNA from 1 species